rnacentral:rRNA from 1 species
UUACUUUGAAGAAUUAGAGUGCUCAAAGCAGGCCUUUGCCGCCUGUAUAAUGGUGCAUGGAAUAAUGGAAUAGGAUCUCGGUUCUAUUUUGUUGGUUUUCGGAGCUCGAGAUAAUGAUUAAUAGGGACUGACGGGGGCAUUCGUAUUGCGGCGCUAGAGGUGAAAUUCUUGGACCGUCGCAAGACGAACUACAGCGAAAGCAUUUGCCAAGCAUGUUUUCAUUAAUCAAGAACGAAAGUCAGAGGUUCGAAGACGAUCAGAUACCGUCGUAGUUCUGACCGUAAACGAUGCCAACUGUCGAUCCGCCGGAGUUGCUUCAAUGACUCGGCGGGCAGCCUCCGGGAAACCAAAGUUUCUGGGUUCCGGGGGGAGUAUGGUUGCAAAGCUGAAACUUAAAGGAAUUGACGGAAGGGCACCACCAGGAGUGGAGCCUGUGGCUUAAUUUGACUCAACACGGGGAACCUCACCCGGCCCGGACACUGCAAGGAUUGACAGAUUGAGAGCUCUUUCUUGAUUCGGUGGGUGGUGGUGCAUGGCCGUUCUUAGUUGGUGGAGCGAUUUGUCUGGUUAAUUCCGAUAACGAACGAGACUCUAGCCUGCUAAAUAGUUCGGGGAUCC